rnacentral:lncRNA from 1 species
AAAACCGACUUCAAGUCAUGGCGGAGCGACCGGUCGGAUUCCUCAGUCGCUUCCUCCGCGGGCAAGGGAGAGCAUCAUGGCCGGAGAGAGUCGGGCUAUUUUAUCGGCGUUCAUCCACGUGAUGUGGGAAAUGCUAGCAAGAGACAGAAUCCAAUGAAGAUUGUGAACAUACUUGAAAUGGAUUUGUGAAAUGAACUGAAGAAAAAGAUUGUACUGAUACUUGAAGGGGAUUUCAAAUGGAUUUUAAAUAGGAUGAAGACAAAAGGUACUCCCCACAAGUUGUGAAUUGAGCAAAUGCACGCAAUGGAAUCGGCUAAAUGGGCUGACGACAAAGAGUCUACAGGGUCUUGCCCACAAGCUGUGAAUUAUGCAGAUGCACGAAGGAGAUAAGCAAAAUGGGCCAAGAUAAGGAUAAGCCAGAUGCUUUGCUGGGUUAUACGCACUAUGGCGAGCCUGCCUGUGCUGGCUCUUGAGAGAAUGUGCCCAACCUGUUGCUCGACCUCAGCAGUGACCGCCAGGUGAUGGUGGAAACUCCUGAACUUGGACGGGGCUUAUCUGCCGAGCAUGGGGAUGCGAAACCAGUGCGCUGACCAGAUGGCCAAUGGGCAGAGGACAUAGAUUGUACUGAUACUUGAAGGGGAUUUCAAAUGGAUUUUAAAAUAGGAUGAAGAUGAAAGAGCCUGCAAGAGAUUGUUGGAGUUGUGAAAUGCAGUAUGACAGGCCUUUGUAUUCAUCGGAUCCAAGUUCUUGAGCAGGUAUAAAAUUAGGUUUGGGGAUGGAUGCCAUGACAUACCUUCUCCAUGUCUAUGGUAGACACUUGUUGAACCAAGGAGAGAACUAGAGAAUACAAGGUACCACAUUGGACUAAAGUGGAACUCCUCUCUCUUGACUGGUGAGGAGCCAAGUACUAGGAGAGCACCUAGGGUACAACAGCUUGAACCCUUUUAAUCCAUUCUGAAGGUUGUGAAGUAAUGAAGGGGUGGGUUACCAGAACAUAUACCCUUCUAGUACUUGCCAAGGAUUGCCAGUGUUGGUUCUUUUGUUGCAGCUCUGAAGACCCUUAUUUUUACUAUGUUGCUCUUGCAUAUCCCACUUCCUACAUUGCAGUGAAUAUCCUGCGAUGGGUACGUCUUGGUGUGUAGACCUGGAGUAAUAUAUAUAAUUUUUUCUGCAUGGUUUGAAGAUUCAAAAUUGUGCGAGAAGCUUUGUCAAUAAAACCUUGUGUGUUA